GAUGAACGCUGGCGGCGUGCCUAACACAUGCAAGUCGAACGGGAAUCUUCGGAUUCUAGUGGCGGACGGGUGAGUAACGCGUAAGAAUCUAACUUCAGGACGGGGACAACAGUUGGAAACGUCUGCUAAUACCCGAUGUGCCGCAAGGUGAAACCUAAUUGGCCUGAAGAUGAGCUCGCGUCUGAUUAGCUAGUUGGUAGUGUAAGGGACUACCAAGGCGACGAUCAGUAGCUGGUCUGAGAGGAUGAGCAGCCACACUGGGACUGAGACACGGCCCAGACUCCUACGGGAGGCAGCAGUGGGGGAAUUUUCCGCAAUGGGCGAAAGCCUGACGGAGCAAUACCGCGUGAGGGAGGAAGGUCUUUGGAUUGUAAACCUCUUUUAUUAGGGAAGAAAAAACUGACGGUACCUAAUGAAUAAGCAUCGGCUAACUCCGUGCCAGCAGCCGCGGUAAU
rnacentral:rRNA from 1 species